GUUCGCGUAGGCUGUCGUCACCGCCCAAGUUUGUGGGAGUUUAGGCUGCAGUUUCCAUCCUUAGGAAGUUUCCGCGCCACGGAAGUGGAAGUCACAGGCAAAUCGAGCUGUGCGCGGCGGCCUGCCUUGAAGCUGGAGAGUAUUUUAAACACUACGGAGCGUUUUCCCUAACGGAUCAGGCACAUAUACUUGGAAGAAUAAUAAAUCUAAGAAGAAAUUUUAUAAUGAAAAAUUUACAAGAAAGAAAUUUACAAAAUGCCUGAGUCCUGGAAGAAAAGAUUCCAGAGAAAAAACUAAAUAUAAUGAGCAGGAAACAAACAAACAACCCAAACCAACCAACCAAUCAAUGAGAACCAACCAACCAACCAACCAAUGAGAACCAACCAAUGAGAACCAACCAAUGAGAACCAACCCCAAGGAACAGAGGAAGCACAUGAAGGAUGACAGGAACAUUUUUUACUUUUCUUUCUGCUAUUGAAGGCGAGGCAUUAAAGUUGAAGUGCUAUUAGCAUGGUUUCUAGAAUGUCCGGUUAAUGGAGUCCUGCUCCCUACCACACUGAUUUUAGGGAUGCAUUUGGUUUGCGCUCAGUUAGGUUUGAUGAUGCUAAGUGAGAACCUUGUUCAGGCCGAGUCGGAAGGCAUUAUCUCACUGAGUACACACCUCAUCGAGUUUCAUGACUCUGAUUUAUAUCGAUUGAUUUCCAGGUCUUGGUUUAUUUCUGUGUGUGGGUGUUUUGUCUCUAUGUGCAUCUGUGCACUAUGUGUGUAGCUGGUGCCCUCAGAGGCUAGACGAGGAGGUUGAAUCCCCUAGGACUGUAGUCUCAGACAGUUACGGGCUCCCAUGUGUGGCUGAGAAUUUAGCUCAGGUCCUCUGGAAGAACAGCCAGCUCUCCUAGUCACUGAGCCAUCUCUCCAGUCCUGUAUUAUUUUUAAAGAUAAUAUUUUAUUUUAUUUUUUGUAUGCAUGUGACUGUAUGAGUUACGUGUACACGUGUACCAUGUAAUUGCAGACGAUCCUAGAGGCCAGAGGAGGGACUUGAGUCCCUUGGAACCAGAAUUAUGGGCAGUUCGUCCUGUAUGGGUGCUGAGAACCAAACCUCCUUCCUCUGCAAGAGCAAUAAGUGCGCCUAACCAUUGAACCAUUUCUCUAGCCAUGUAUUCUGGUCUCAAACUUGCUCCAAGGAACUUGACGCCCUUAAUUAUCAGAAAAUAGUCACAUGAUAUUAUCACCACCCUUCACCUCUAUCCUUUUUCUUUUCCUUUCCUACAUAGUGAUAGGGUGUUGAAAGGGUGGAAGAAGAGGGUGGAGAAGGGUAGAAGAAAGAAAAAAGCCCACAAAGUAGCCAAAGUCUGGCUUCAAAAGGUAUUUAUUUCUAACAGAACAAAGCAAAAACCCAAACCCAACAAAACCAGCAAACACCAGUAGAGGAACAAGAGCACCCAAGCAUUUGUGCAAAGCUGUUAAAUAGCAAAUAAAAUGCAAAGACCAGA